CCUACGGGGGGCUGCAGUGGGGAAUAUUGGACAAUGGGCGAAAGCCUGAUCCAGCCAUGCCGCGUGUGUGAAGAAGGCCUUCGGGUUGUAAAGCACUUUCAGUGGGGAAGAAAGCCUUGGGGCUAAUACCCUCGAGGAAGGACAUCACCUACAGAAGAAGCACCGGCUAACUCCGUGCCAGCAGCCGCGGUAAUACGGAGGGUGCGAGCGUUAAUCGGAAUUACUGGGCGUAAAGCGCGCGUAGGCGGUCUGAUAAGCCGGUUGUGAAAGCCCCGGGCUCAACCUGGGAACGGCAUCCGGAACUGUCAGGCUAGAGUGCAGGAGAGGAAGGUAGAAUUCCCGGUGUAGCGGUGAAAUGCGUAGAGAUCGGGAGGAAUACCAGUGGCGAAGGCGGCCUUCUGGACUGACACUGACGCUGAGGUGCGAAAGCGUGGGUAGCAAACAGGAUUAGAUACCCUAGUAGU
rnacentral:rRNA from 1 species